UUUGGGGGCAAUUUUGCUUAUGUUAUGAAGGACGUAAGCUUGUCAUUGAAACAACUUAUCUUAGAGAUUAUGGCAUCAAGGAUGGUGACCAGUGAUCUAUCCUAUAACUUUUUGGAAGGAGCAAUCCCAGAAAGUCUUGGAGAGUUGACAUCAUUACAGAGACUGAACCUAAAUGGGAAUAGGCUGUCUGGAAGUGUUCAAC